GUCAAUACGGCCAUGUUUGAAGAGAAGAAUGGACUUAAAUAGCAUUAGCAGCUCCAGUAUUAGCAGCGUGAAUCACUGGAAAAUGGCCAUCAUGAUGGAGUGAAAAAAGUUCUCCCAUUCUGUGUGGAAGCAGGACCAACCUCAUCUCUUUGCCUUUCAGAUGUGUUUAAAGGUUGAACAGAUGCAGUCCUCGCCUGAGACCGGUUUCAAGUGCUGCCUGGAACCUCUACUGUCAACAACCAGGGGAUAAUAUUGCGGUGUCAAUCUCCAAAGAAUUUCAAAACAAAAGUGAAAUUAAAUCUCAGGUCCACAUGAAGUUACAGAAAAAAAGAGAAAGAAAGGUGUUUUGGGGAAAACAUUAUUUUUGUCUUAAUUAAAUAAAAAAAGGUGUAAUCUUAUAUUCAGUGUGAUCGUUCAGAUUGUAGGGUUCA